rnacentral:rRNA from 1 species
GACGAACGCUGGCGGCGUGCCUAAUACAUGCAAGUAGAACGCUGAAGGAGGAGCUUGCUUCUCUGGAUGAGUUGCGAACGGGUGAGUAACGCGUAGGUAACCUGCCUGGUAGCGGGGGAUAACUAUUGGAAACGAUAGCUAAUACCGCAUAAGAGUAGAUGUUGCAUGACAUUUGCUUAAAAGGUGCAAUUGCAUCACUACCAGAUGGACCUGCGUUGUAUUAGCUAGUUGGUGGGGUAACGGCUUACCAAGGCGACGAUACAUAGCCGACCUGAGAGGGUGAUCGGCCGCACUGGGACUGAGACACGGCCCAGACUCCUACGGGAGGCAGCAGUAGGGAAUCUUCGGCAAUGGACGGAAGUCUGACCGAGCAACGCCGCGUGAGUGAAGAAGGUUUUCGGAUCGUAAAGCUCUGUUGUAAGAGAAGAACGAGUGUGAGAGUGGAAAGUUCACACUGUGACGGUAUCUUACCAGAAAGGGACGGCUAACUACGUG